rnacentral:lncRNA from 1 species
GAUGGUUCAAGUGUGGAUGCUGAUGUGACUUCGUGCACGAACGGGAGCAACUUUCUAUCCCAAAUUUGAAAAUGAGGUAUAUGAUUCCUGUCUCAGUUUAUAAUGUUUUGAUUUCAUGAGUGGAGGUUAUAUUUGUUGAAUUUUGUCAUAUGUAUCAAUCUUCCUAGUUUAUAUAUUUUUUCUUCAUAAUCAUUGUUUGAUGAAUCUCAGCCUUAUGGGAUAUUAGACAAUAAAAAAAAAUGUUUUCAAGAACAUUCAAAAGAAAUUGAUAUGCUCUGUGCCGAGACCCUAAAUUUGACCAUUGGAAUCAAUGAAUAUACUAUGUUUUAUAAAUUUUGUAACGGAUGGAUCAUAGAUGCCUCAAUGACUAUAGAGUAAAAUGUUGGAUGAACUUAAUGACUCUAGUCCCUGAAUGUGAAAGCAAGUUGUUGCCUUAAUUUCCACUCAAGCAAUUGUCUCUAUCUGUGUCCUCUUUUUUGUCAAAAAAUCAAAAAAUAUAUAUGAAUUUUUAUUCAAAAUGCAUGAAUGGAUAUCUAUUGUGCUUUGUUGACUCUUUGUCCCUAAAUUCAAUUUUUGCAGUGAUUUGAAUUAUGAUCUUAAUGACCCUAUUACCUAAUGUUUCAUAAGUUUUGUAAGGAAUGGAUGCCUCAAUGAGAUGAUGGCGUCAGAGUAAAAUGCAUUAUUACCCGAAUCGUGAAUCUGUCACUUAGAUGAUUUUUUUUCUCUUUAUCUAUAAUGCAUUGUGUGGUAAACAUGAGCAGUAACUCAAAAUUCAACAAUAAGAUGAAUAUACUUUGUUCCUUGAUUUUUGUAAGGGAUUUUCUUGAUCGUCCAAAAAUGCAAGAUGAUGCCUUAAUGUGAAAGCUAGUAGAUGAGAAGGAAUUCUCAGGUGAUGAGCUAUUCAAGUUUUUUUNNNNNNNNNNNNNNNNNNNNNNNNNNNNNNNNUUCAUUGUGAUUGUUUGUAUUGGCUUUAUGAUUUCAAACAUGGUUGAAUUGUUGAUUUUAGAUUCAUAUAACAACAUAUUCUUAUAUAUAGAACUUUGUUCGACAGUAUUACACUAGUGCAGUUCUGUAAUAGCCGACUGUCAUCCUUUUAGAUUCAUUAUGAAACCAAUGUCCUGUCAAAAAAAAAAAUUAUGAAACCAAUGUCCCAUAGAUGAUGGAAGCGUUUGUUGCAUGGUAGGAACAUGGAACAAUUACAUGUGCUAACUUUCUAUUGAAUUGAAUCCCAGCUUUCAAGGUUAAUUUGUUAACUAGGCAGGCUUUUUACCUCGGAAGUAAAUGUGGGAACGAGUUUUCUUAAUAUGGUAUAAUUCUAUGAUUUGAGAUGCCUUUUCCCCCUAUAUGUAUGGCGUAGAAUCAGAUAUAGUUGUAAAUCUGGUUCGGAAUGAAGGAAAAGUAGGUGAUUCAACCAUUUUAUGUGCUAACAAUGACUGUACUUAUGUGUUUUUCUUAGACCCGUUUCCUGUAAACGUUAAGUAGUGGAGAGCGGAAUUGAUUAACAACCUCUCAUACUUUUCUGUCAAGUUAUUUCUGUUUUUUCUCCUUCUACUAUCCCAAAUUCAGUUUUAUACACGAAGCUGAAGGUUUAAUACUCUCUGUUCUACCAGGUACUAUCAAGACCAAUAUUCGUCCUUUCCAUUGCAACAGUCUUUACUGAUGAACAUGAAUGUAGUGAUGGAACCUCAGAUCAUAUUACUGACUCUCAUGAUUCAGAAAUAUCUACAGCAGAACCAUCUCCUGUGCAGGAUAAUAUGAAUAUUAGGUAUAUGAUUUGAGGUUUCUUACUAAGUUUGCAUGUGCAAUUUAUGCUUGUUGCGAUGAUAUUAUAAACACUUUACUUUUGAGCUUAGAAUGGCA